UUAAGUUCAGCGGGUAUCCUUAUCUGAUCUGAGGUGAAAACAAUAGAAUAGUUGGGUGGGGCAUGUCGGCACUUUUGCAAAGAAUAGCAUUACUACUUCGCUAGCGGUGCUAACCGCGCCCAGUGCGCAUUAAGGCGAGACCCACGAGGGGGCACGUCCAUACUUACAAACCAAUGGCUUGAUGUUUUUCACUCACGCUC
rnacentral:misc_RNA from 1 species